rnacentral:rRNA from 1 species
AUGGAUUAUUCUAAUUUGAGGCGACAAGCUGCUUCUUUGAAGAAGGGCCUCUUUGAUCAGGGUCACCUUGAUGAGCAGUUUCGUCAGGUGGAAGACUUGCAGGAUGAAGCUAGUCCUAAUUUUGUGGAAGAAGUUGUGGUGGUGUUCUUCAAAGAUUCUGGCAGGCUAAUAUCAAACCUUGAGCAAGCUCUGGAGAAGUACCCCAGAGAUUUCAGCAGGUGGGAUGCAUACAUGCAGCAACUGAAAGGCAGCUGUUCCAGCAUCGGUGCUUCUAGGAUGAAGAAUGAAUGCAUGUCAUUCAGGGAUAACUGUGGGCAACGAAAUGUUGAAGGUUGCAUGGGGUCUCUCCAGAAACUGAAGAGGGAGCAUGCCAUCCUGAGGCAGAAACUAGAAUCCUAUUUCCAGCUGCUGCGACAAGCUGGUCCUGCUGGAGCGGCCACUAGACCUGCCAUGUAA